rnacentral:lncRNA from 1 species
GAUACGUGUGUUUCCUCUCCUUCCUGGGAGAGGCAUUUCUUCAUCCCACUAAGCUGUUGGCUUAAAUAUUCAUCAAGCCCUUUCCCACCAUCAGUAAAUAAGCUCCACAAACUCCUGCCACUGCUAAUGGAUCUCUCUGCCCCACUCUCUCCUCAUCCCUCCCGCUCUUCCGUUUACCUUGUCUUCCCAGAGAAUAACUGUGAUGGUAAAGGCUGUGAGUGACUCAGUUUCCAGUGCAUGCUUUCCGCCUCCCCUUUUGAAGAUGAACUUGAAGACACUAAGUCAGCUACAGGACCUUUCUGGCCCCUGAAAUAUCACCAUCAGAAAAGUCCAGGAUGGGACUCCGCCAGCGCACAGACAGAAGCAGCUGAAUCAGUGGGUGGUGGCGCCCAGGGAAAGGACACAGGAAACUUUGAGGAGUCCUGCUGAUGGUUUCUUCCCAUAUUUGAAUGAAACACAAAACAAAAAGCUUCAAGCGCCAAGGAGUAGGCAGGUAUGUUUAUGCUGAUGCUAUCUAUAGCUGGUAUUUAUUUGGUUGUUAGGGAAUGGGUUGCGUCCUGCUGCGAACUUUGAAAUUAUGGAACUUUAGAAUGAAUGUUA